rnacentral:lncRNA from 1 species
GUCUACAAUUGCAAUAUCACAAAAAGUACAAAUUAUUAGAAGUAAAUAAAUGUAAAUGAUAUGGUACAAUACUGAAAUCUGAACACAACAGAAAUAUAUCAUCACAGUUAGCAGAAAUAUGGUACACCUACAAAAAUAAAGUAAUGUAUUUACUCAGAAUUCAUUGAGUACCAAUUUUUGGGAGUUUGGUAUUUAUUACCCUCAGAUUUUAAUUUGUACUUGAUAUCAAAUUCAUCCUUUAAAAAAAAGUAAUAAGAAUAAUUUUAUUUUAUUUAAGAAUUGAUUAACAAAAUCUCUUAAUCUCUACACCAAUUAAGUAUUGAACAUUCAGUGAGAUACAUUUAGGCCAGUCGACUUUGAUUUUAUUUCUUUGAAUUUUAGGAAUAUAGAUGGGAAAGUUUCGUGAAUUGCUGGGAAAUGCCAAUGGCAUCAUAAAAUUCAAGGUUUUCAGAUUUAUAAUCUGCUAAUUAGCAUUUGAUCUAGACCUUAUAAUCAAAAAGGCAACAACUUAAUUUCUAGUCAAAUAAUGAAACUAGAAAAGUUUUGUCUGUCAAAAGCUAUGAAAAUGCUUUUUUUUUUGAGUUUUUUUCUGCCCAAAAAUUUAAAUCAAUUCAAGAACGAGAAGAACUUAUAUUCAAUCUGCAAUAGCUUUACCCAGGACAUUUCAGGCUUUAGAAUUUCUUGUUCUUUGUAACUCUAAUCAACUUUUAUAUGAUAUACAUUCUAAUAUGAUUGUAAUAUUUUGUUCAAUCUAUUAAUAAGUCUCAAAUAAAUAUCAGAAAUAUAUAAUAUCUUGAUAUCUACAUAAUAAACUUUCAUACAAUACAUACUUACUAAAAUUAACAUACAGAAAACUCAUUUAGACAAAGAUCUCUAUUUAUUUUUCGGUCUAUAAACUUUUACAAUAUAAAUAAUGUGUGUUUCACUAUAAAUUUUCUAGUACCUAUUGAGAUUAAUUUUAAUGAAUUGUUGGGUCUUUUUUAAUUCCAGGUGUUGGAACAAAUACUACUGAAGUAAAACUGUAAAUUCAAGCUAAAGCCUUUCCAAGGAAAUAAAUAGACAAAAAAAUACUAUCAGAGUAAAAUUCACUUUCAUUCAAUCAUUCAUCGUAAUUUUUUGGCACAAGUAAUAUUCUAAUAACAUAAACUGGCCAGAUUCUAAGAAGUAAAGAUUAUUUUAUUACUAUUUUUUUAAUCUGUGGAGGAACCAAUGGUCCUCUCCUUCCUGAUUAAUUCCUAAUUAAAAAGUUAAAUUUCUAAAUUUAUUUACAUCUUUGGCAAACAUUUUAGGCAACAUUCUAAUGAAAAUGACAAAGUUCUCGUAAAAUUUAGGACUUGCAAGGAAAAUAAUAAAUUUGAUUGUAGUCUUUUCAUUUUUUAACCCCUCAAAUAAAUGAAAAAGUUAACAUAGAAAAGUCAGGAUAUUUCUGAUCCCCUAAAGAAAUUUGAAGAGUUCACUGAAUUAUGGUCGAAUUUUGAUGUCAAGUGAGCGCAAAAACUCAAAUACUAGUCAACAAUUGAGCUUAAAGCUUAAAUAGAACUUAAAAUCAUAUGACUUUUUCUGUCAAUGCCAGGCUACAUAUACAAGACAAAUAAAUCUAAAUAAAUACCCACAAAAAUCAUUCCUAGCAUGCAUGUCUUGUAUAAAACAUUCUGGAAUGAUUAUCAAGCAGUCUAAUUUGUUUACAAAUAUCUGAGCAAACUUCAGAAUAAAAAGUCAUUACACAAAUGGAAAAUAUUAUCACAAAUAUACUUAUCUUUAUAAAAUACAAAAUACAAUAAAUAUUAUAUUAAUACACCCAAUGAUUCACUGGAAAAAUAUUUUUCAAUCAAUUAAUACAGUGAAAACCUAUUUAAACCAAAAAGUCCUAAUUUAAGAGAUGGAAAAAUGACUUUUUUCUUCACAUUUUGAAUUCCCUGCUGAUGAAAAUUCUAAAUUUACUUUUUAAGUAUUUUGAUUAUGAUUGAUUGAAUCUUGGUGUUUAACACCACUUCCCAUACUCUCAGCUAUUCAAUAGCAGCCUGUUUUUUAUUGAUGGAGAGAGCUUUGGUAUCUAGAGGUAACCAUCAACAUUCUAGGCAAAUAGUCAAACACAUCAUGCCACGAGCAGGAUUUGAACUAACAAGCUCAGUGUAAACUGGCUAUUGAUCACUAGGGAUGAAAUUGUAAGAUCACUAUGCCCUUCUAACCAGCUAACAGUACUUUAUUUUAUUUCAAAAGAAAGAUCUAUGUUUCACAUAUUUUAGACAAUUUCUAUUCUUGUUAUUUUUCUACUCACAAAAAGUCAAGCAAAAUAGUUGUGAAAAAAUUGGUCAACAUUAUUUUAAAAAUUAUUUUUCAGUGACUCAGUUUUUUUGACAGGUUUCACUGUAUAUUUUGAGGAAUCAGAUAUUUAGUUUCUUUUUAGUAAAAAAACAUCAGCCAUUCAUAGAAUGAGUUAAUGAGAGAAGAAAUGGAUGCUCACUUUGUGCCAUUACAUUGUUUUAUUUCAGAUGUAUCUUAAUCUUGUUAAACUUAUUAUUCUCCAAAUUAGUACAACUAAUAUUUUACAUCUUUUUUCCCCCCAAGUAUUAGGAUUGGAAUAGCACACUUAAUUUUCACAUAUUUUACAUCUUUUUUCCCAAAGUAUUAGGAUUGGAAUAGCACACUUAAUUUUCACAUAUUUUACAUCUUUUUUCCCCCCAAGUAUUAGGAUUGGAAUAGCACACUUAAUUUUUACAUAUUUAAAUAUCCUAUGAUGAGAAUGAGUACAGUUAGUUGUACAAUUGAUUGAUAAGCCAUUUAACUGCAGAUAUUUAACAAUCUCUAAAGAAACUACAUUUACAAAUAAUAUCAUGCUAAUUAAGGAGGUAGACCUAGGUUAAGGGAUAUAACUCUUAAAAUCAUCAGUACGUUUGUGUCAGCCAUUUUCAUAAAUAUGUUCUAAGCUUCUUAGAUACAUAGAUUAUUUCCAAUCUGUUUCAGGUAAAUGCUUAAAAUUCAUUGACGAAGCUUGACUUUUACAAAUGCAUAACUGAUUUAAAGAGUUAUCUCCCUGAACCAAGGUCUACCCCCUUAAAUACCAGUCUUUCUUAGAAUCAGUUGUAACAAAAAUUUAGGGAUGUAUUUUCAAAAUUAUUUAUAAAAGUAAAACAAAUCAAAUCACUGAGUAAACACGCCCCUUUGAAAAAUUAUUUUCUUGAAAAUCAUCAUGAACU